GACGAACGCUGGCGGCGGGCUUAACACAUGCAAGUCGAACGGAAAGGCCCUGCUUUUGUGCGGUGCUCGAGUGGCGAACGGGUGAGUAACACGUGAGUAACCUGCCCUUGACUUUGGGAUAACUUCAUGAAACUGGGGCUAAUACCGGAUAGGAGCGCCUGCUGCAGGGUGGGGGUUGGAAAGUUUCGGCGGUUGGUGAUGGACUCGCGGCUUAUCAGCUUGUGGGUGGGGUAGUGGCUUACCAAGGCUUUGACGGGUAGCCGGCCUGAGAGGGUGACCGGCCACAUUGGGACUGAGAUACGGCCCAGACUCCUACGGGAGGCAGCAGUGGGGAAUAUUGCACAAUGGGCGGAAGCCUGAUGCAGCAACGCCGCGUGCGGGAUGACGGCCUUCGGGUUGUAAACCGCUUUCGCCUGUGACGAAGCGUGAGUGACGGUAAUGGGUAAAGAAGCACCGGCUAACUACGUG
rnacentral:rRNA from 1 species